GAUGAACGCUAGCGGCAGGCCUAACACAUGCAAGUCGAGGGGUAGCAGGAUUAAGCUUGCUUAAUUGCUGACGACCGGCGCACGGGUGCGUAACGCGUAUGCAACCUACCUUAUACUGGGGUAUAGCCCGGAGAAAUUCGGAUUAAUCCCCCAUAGUACUAAUGAAUCGCAUGGUUUAUUAGUUAAAGCAUUGCGGUAUAAGAUGGGCAUGCGUCCUAUUAGCUAGAUGGUGAGGUAACGGCUCACCAUGGCUACGAUAGGUAGGGGGCCUGAGAGAGUGGUCCCCCACGCUGGUACUGGGACACGGACCAGACUCCUGCGGGAGGCAGCAGUGAGGAAUAUUGGUCAAUGGGCGCAAGCUUGAACCAGCCAUGCCGCGUGCAGGAAGAAUGCCCUAUGGGUUGUAAACUGCUUUUAUUUGGGAAUAAACCUCUUUACGUGUAGAGAGCUGAAGGUACCAAAUGAAUAAGCACCGGCUAACUCCGUGCCAGCCGCCGCGGUAA
rnacentral:rRNA from 1 species